rnacentral:lncRNA from 1 species
GCCAUACUUUGCCUAUCCUGGUAUAAAACAAGUAAAUCUUCUGAGCAGUAUUUAAGAUAAGCCCAGGACAGUUAGUAACAUAGGAAAAGAUCUGGAUAAGCCUGGUUGAGAAUUUCAACAUUGCAAUUUUUUAAUUUUUAAAAAUUUAAUUUCUUCAAUAAUUAUUGAAUUAAUUUGCAUUUAUUUUGUUAGCCAAGUGGAGUGAUUUUUGAAUUUUUAAGAGGCUAUUAUUGGUGGUUUAUAAGAUGACUUGCCAAGUAUAUUUGGGAUAACCAUAAGAAAUACCAUUAUAAGAUCUCAGAAGGGAGGUGGGACUUCUGGAAUAGCCAAGGAAAUGCACUCCUCCAUGACGACAAUGAAAAUACUUGGAAAAUUAUCAAAAUCAUUUUCUUCAAAACUUUGGAAAUUAACCAAAGGUUUACAACAAUCUAAAGGGCAUUAAUUCAAGAAAAGCUGCUGAAACUCUAUAAGAACAGCAAAGUUUGUGGUGCUUUAACUUGUUCUAUUCCCCACUCUUCUCUCCCCAGCUCCAUGGUAUCCUUGAAAACAAGCAAUUCCCCAACCAUACAGGGGCACAGGCUGUGUUUGCAGCUCCUGUAAAAGCUCCAUACCCAGAGCAGUGUCUCCCAGCUCCCUGGUGAAGUCUUACGUAUACAUGGGGUGCUGGCACAGGUGACUCCAGAUUAGUUUCCUAGGCCAUCUAGUAGCUCCUAGGUCUGGGCGCUUGCAAAGAGCUUGCAAUUCAUCAAGGGUUGAGUUGCACAAUGGGGCUUUUAGAUGUGCCGCUGAGGAAGUGAUUGCCUGCAUUUGUCUCCCGAUGAAUGCUAGAGAAACUGAUCUAGAGUGGCUCCUCUUGGUUAGAAUUAGCUGAAGCAUACUGUAUAUAUUUACUUCUUUUAAAAAUUUCAUAUAAAGGAAUAGAAAAUAAUACUAAAAAAAAAAAAAGGUCACAAUCUUCUAUAAUUCCAUCACUCUUAUCAAUUACCUGAAGUAAAAAAACUCUCUCAAGUCUCUCCCUUUGCUUGUCAAGCCCCGCUGCAGACAGGUAAGCUCUGUUCAAAAUUUGCUUUGUGUCCUGGAUUUUUUCCUAUGCUCAUAGAGACAGGAUUAGCUGGCUGUCUUGCUUUGUGUGCUAUCUUUUCUAGACAUGUAAAAUAAUACAUUUGAAAUACUUGUUUUAAUGGUAUUUUAUAAUAAAGCAGCUUUUAAUAACUUUUCUUUUUUUCUUUAUUCCAGCCGUCUUUGUGGCAAUUUUACAUUGGUUACAUUUAGUAACACUUUUUGAAAAUGAUCGUCAUUUCUCUCACCUCUCAUCUUUGGAACGGGAGAUGACUUAGAUGACUUCUCCCACUGAAAUGGUUAGAUUUCUUCUUCUAACGAAUUAAUCUGUGGUUUAAGAAUAGUGAGACUAUGAGGUAGAAAUGUAUUAGGAAUUGAAACCAGCUUUUGGUGAACUGCACUGUUUCGUAAGCUAUAACCCAGGUUUAUUAUUUAAAUAGUAAAGUGUUUGAGAUUAUUUUUCUG